rnacentral:lncRNA from 1 species
GGCUCAGAUUCAGGUUAAAUUGUGGAUUGAGCUCGCAGUUACAGACAGCUGACCAUGGAAGCGAAUGGGUUGGGCCUCCAGCGUAGCAUACUGACACCUACCCCCACCCCCACCUGAUCGCCAGACCUCAGGGUUUUCCGGAGCUGAAGAAUGACACAUUCCUGCGAGCAGCCUGGGGAGAGGAAACAGACUACACUCCCGUUUGGUGCAUGCGCCAGGCAGGCCGUUACUUACCAGAGUUUAGGGAAACCCGGGCUGCCCAGGACUUUUUCAGCACGUGUCGCUCUCCUGAGGCCUGCUGUGAACUGACUCUGCAGCCACUGCGUCGCUUCCCUCUGGAUGCUGCCAUCAUUUUCUCCGACAUCCUUGUUGUACCCCAGGUACCCACUCAAACCUGAUCCUAGAAUAUAAUCCAAGGACGCCUUGAAAAUCCUUCUAUCAGUCCAGUCAAGGUUUACAAUAAGCACUUAUCCUAACUGGAUCGAG